rnacentral:rRNA from 1 species
UACGUAGGGGGCUAGCGUUGUCCGGAUUUAUUGGGCGUAAAGGGCUCGUAGGCGGUCUGUUGCGUCGGGGGUGAAAACUCAGGGCUUAACCCUGAGCCUGCUUCCGAUACGGGCAGACUAGAGGUAUGCAGGGGAGAACGGAAUUCCUGGUGUAGCGGUGAAAUGCGCAGAUAUCAGGAGGAACACCGGUGGCGAAGGCGGUUCUCUGGGCAUUACCUGACGCUGAGGAGCGAAAGUGUGGGGAGCGAACAGG